AGACCCGAAACCCGGUGAUCUAGCCAUGGGCAGGUUGAAGGUUGGGUAACACUAACUGGAGGACCGAACCGACUAAUGUUGAAAAAUUAGCGGAUGACCUGUGGCUGGGGGUGAAAGGCCAAUCAAACCGGGAGAUAGCUGGUUCUCCCCGAAAGCUAUUUAGGUAGCGCCUCGUGAAUUCAUCUCCGGGGGUAGAGCACUGUUUCGGCUAGGGGGCCAUCCCGGCUUACCAACCCGAUGCAAACUGCGAAUACCGGAGAAUGUUAUCACGGGAGACACACGGCGGGUGCUAACGUCCGUCGUGAAGAGGGAAACAACCCAGACCGCCAGCUAAGGUCCCAAAGUCAUGGUUAAGUGGGAAACGAUGUGGGAAGGCCCAGACAGCCAGGAUGUUGGCUUAGAAGCAGCCAUCAUUUAAAGAAAGCGUAAUAGCUCACUGGUCGAGUCGGCCUGCGCGGAAGAUGUAACGGGGCUAAACCAUGCACCGAAGCUGCGGCAGCGAACGUAUCACUUAAAGCGAUUCAGCGGGUUACGAUUGACGGAGCGAAGCGACGUCAAAGCGUAUAC
rnacentral:rRNA from 1 species